GAUGAACGCUGGCGGCGUGCCUAAUACAUGCAAGUCGAGCGAACAGACGAGGAGCUUGCUCCUCUGACGUUAGCGGCGGACGGGUGAGUAACACGUGGAUAACCUACCUAUAAGACUGGGAUAACUUCGGGAAACCGGAGCUAAUACCGGAUAAUAUAUUGAACCGCAUGGUUCAAUAGUGAAAGACGGUUUUGCUGUCACUUAUAGAUGGAUCCGCGCCGCAUUAGCUAGUUGGUAAGGUAACGGCUUACCAAGGCAACGAUGCGUAGCCGACCUGAGAGGGUGAUCGGCCACACUGGAACUGAGACCCGGUCCAGACUCCUACGGGAGGCAGAAGUAGGGAAUCUUCCGCAAUGGGCGAAAGCCUGACGGAGCAACGCCGCGUGAGUGAUGAAGGUCUUCGGAUCGUAAAACUCUGUUAUUAGGGAAGAACAAAUGUGUAAGUAACUAUGCACGUCUUGACGGUACCUAAUCAGAAAGCCACGGCUAACUAC
rnacentral:rRNA from 1 species